UUUCGGGUAACUGAGACCGGCGUACGGGUGCGUAACGCGUAUACAAUCUGCCUUUCACUGGGGGGUAGCCCGAAGAAAUUUGGAUUAAUACCCCAUAGUAUAGUAGUGUGGCAUCACACAACUAUUAAAGCUUAGGUGGUGAAAGAUGAGUAUGCGUUCUAUUAGCUAGUUGGAGAGGUAACGGCUCCCCAAGGCGAUGAUAGAUAGGGGUUCUGAGAGGGAUGUCCCCCACACUGGUACUGAGAUACGGACCAGACUCCUACGGGAGGCAGCAGUGAGGAAUAUUGGACAAUGGUCGGAAGACUGAUCCAGCCAUGCCGCGUGCAGGAUGACGGCCUUAUGGGUUGUAAACUGCUUUUGUAAGGGAAGAAUAAGGAGUACGUGUACUUUGAUGACGGUACCUUAUGAAUAAGCAUCGGCUAACUCCGUGCCAGCAGCCGCGGUAAUACGGAGGAUGCGAGCGUUAUCCGGAAUCAUUGGGUUUAAAGGGUCUGUAGGCGGGCUGGUAAGUCAGAGGUGAAAGCGCUUAGCUCAACUAAGCAACUGCCUUUGAAACUGUUGGUCUUGAAUGGUUGUGAAGUAGUUGGAAUGUGUAGUGUAGCGGUGAAAUGCUUAGAUAUUACACAGAACACCGAUAGCGAAGGCAUAU
rnacentral:rRNA from 1 species